CCUCCAUUCAUUUACCUGAUUUUUAAUUCCUACAGUGCAGAACUCGGUCUACACAGCAACAGCUGGAUAUCAAGGCAGUUUGGAAGAACCAAUACUUGUCACAGUUACCAUAUUUGUCACAGCUGCUCAUUUUCAUUAUGGAGUUUGUGUGGGGAAACAACUGAGCCAACAUUUCAAUAUCCCCAUCUUUUCCUUGAAAAAAGUAGAUUCAGUAAGACAAACUGCACACCAUAUCAAUACUACCCAACAUUUCUGAACUGUGCAAAUGCAGAAUUAGGCAGAACUAAGCAGAACAAGAAACAAAAGGACAGACGUUCAAAGCAAAAAGCUGAUCAUCAAAAGUGUUUGUUUCUCUGGUCACCUGCUUACUGCAUUCCUUUUGCUGUUUUUAAUUUAUUCAAGCAGUUUUUUCUUUAUAACCUAAAAUGAAUACUUUUCUUGAACAGUCUCUCAAAAAUUCCAUCUCCGUUUCUGUGUAACUUGGUGAAAGUUGUUGGAUACCACAAGGUUGUGGCCAACUCUUGUUUGACUGUGUCGGCAAACUCCAAACUCCAUGGACACCACUACACAGUUUUCUUGGCAGAGAUAAAGAAGUGGUUUGCCAUUGCCUACUUCCAAGGAGAGGUUGGGGAUUGGAUAGGCAACCCUCUGCUUUCCAGGCUGACUGCAACUUAUAAAAGCACAUAAUGGCAGUUUUCCUGCUAUCUAAGCUACUUUUGACUUUCCCUCUGAUUUCACUCCCUAAAGAUUACCCUGUUCUCUACACUGUAAGCCAGAGAUGACUAGCCUGUCAUCCUCAGUAGCUGGGCUACAAUGUCCAGCAUUCCUGACCACUGAUUACAUUUGUUGGUAUUGAUGAGAGCAGGAAUCCAAUGUCUAUGGAAUGCUACAGGUUAUUCAUAAAAUGUUUGCUAAGAGGCAAAUUUAAACAAUCCUGAUAUGCUGUGAGCCUAAACUUUCUUUUUUUGUGUGAGUGAAUAUGAGAUAAUUUUUGAAUCUGGUGAAACCUNACCCUGGUCAGAAUGUAUACUGGGCAGUUAUAGCAGACAAAGUUUUUUCUUUCACUCAGGUUGCAUCCAGACAGGGGUCAAAACCCCAUAAUUAUGUCAGAAUAACACAUGACUAGGGUACCCAUGAUAUUAUUCCACACUAAUGACCCAAAUUCCUGGGUUUGGUUGUUGCACUAGAAAAUAAUUGCCA
rnacentral:lncRNA from 1 species